rnacentral:rRNA from 1 species
CAGUAGCCACGGUAAGACAGAGGAUGCAAGCGUUAUCCGGAAUGAUUGGGCGUAAAGCGUCUGUAGGUGGCUUUUCAAGUCCGCCGUCAAAUCCCAGGGCUCAACCCUGGACAGGCGGUGGAAACUAGGUGACUAGAAUCUUGGAGAGGUCAGUGGAAUUCCGAGUGUAGAGGUGAAAUUCGUAGAUAUUCGGAAGAACACCAGUGGCGUAGGCGACUGACUGGACAAGUAUUGACGCUGAGGUGCGAAAGCGUGGGGAGCAAACAGGAUUAGAUACCCCAGUAGUCCCUGUCUCUUAUAC